rnacentral:tRNA from 1 species
UCGGUGUGUGGGUGAGGUGCCCGGAGCGUCUUGGCAACGGUUACUUCACAGUGGAACCAAAUGUUUCAGGUUCGAGUCCUGAUCUGCGAGC